rnacentral:rRNA from 1 species
UGGGGAAUAUUGCACAAUGGGCGAAAGUCUGAUGCAGCGACGCCGCGUGAGGGAUGACGGCCUUCGGGUUGUAAACCUCUUUCAGCAGGGAAGAAGCGAGAGUGACGGUACCUGCAGAAGAAGCGCCGGCUAACUACGUGCCAGCAGCCGCGGUAAUACGUAGGGCGCAAGCGUUGUCCGGAAUUAUUGGGCGUAAAGAGCUCGUAGGCGGUUAGUCGCGUCUGCUGUGAAAACUCGAGGCUCAACCUCGGGCUUGCAGUGGGUACGGGCUGACUAGAGUGCGGUAGGGGUGACUGGAAUUCCUGGUGUAGCGGUGGAAUGCGCAGAUAUCAGGAGGAACACCGAUGGCGAAGGCAGGUCACUGGGCCGCAACUGACGCUGAGGAGCGAAAGCAUGGGGAGCGAACAGGAUUAGAUAGCCCUGGUAGUCCAUGCCGUAAACGUUGGCACUAGGUGUGGGGUCCAUUCCACGGAUUCCGUGCCGCAGCAAACGCAUUAAGUGCCCCGCCUGGGGAGUACGGCCGCAAGGCUAAAACUCAAAUGAAUUGACGGGGUCAUAGCUGUUU